AAUUCUUAGACCAGAGUUAAUCUGAACCUCAUCCCCCAUAAAGAUCUCAUUGACUUCUUUCUUUUUGUGGUUUCCAGAAUCUUCUCCAGCUCCAACCCCCUAAUCACCACCCCAAGUAGAUAAGUUUUAAUAUUAAAAAUAACUUGAUUUGUUCUAAAGAUAAUCUUGUGUCUAGCUAGGUUUCUUUGAGAAGUGAAGUAGGUGUAGAAGUUCAAAUAGACUUCUCAUGCUGAUGAAUUCUUGAGCAACACUCCCCCUCUAAAUCUGGUUCAAGGCUUUUAUUCGCUCGGUCA
rnacentral:lncRNA from 1 species